rnacentral:rRNA from 1 species
GACGAACGCUGGCGGCGUGCUUAACACAUGCAAGUCGAGCGGGGACAUGGAGGAGCUUGCUCUGAGAUGUUCUAGCGGCGGACGGGUGAGUAACGCGUGAGCAACCUUUCUCUCAGUGGGGAAUAACACAGGGAAACUUGUACUAAUACCGCAUGGGACCACGACCUGGCAUCUGGUUGGGGUGAAAGAUUUAUUGCUGAGAGGUGGGCUCGCGUCCGAUUAGGUAGUUGGUGAGGUAACGGCCCACCAAGCCGACGAUCGGUAGCCGACCUGAGAGGGUGAUCGGCCACAUUGGGACUGAGACACGGCCCAA